UUUUACGGGAUUGUAGCAAGGUCAAGCAAGUUUGGGAUAUCAUCUUCUAGCAUCCUCUUCCACCUCCAUUAUUUUUUUGGGAUAUGAGCAUCAUAAGCUAAAUUCAUCUUUUAUUGAAGACUUUGGCAGGGUCUAAUCGCCACACUAUUCCUGGUAUCACUAUUUGGAGUAUUGGGAAUUUUAGGAAUAAGUUUGUGUUCUCGUCUCAACCUUGGAUCCCUACUUAAGUGGUUGAUCAUAUUUUCAAUGCAUCAGGUGAAGUCAUUCAGAAUCCCAUCCUCGGGUGUCACAGAUCGAC
rnacentral:lncRNA from 1 species